rnacentral:rRNA from 1 species
GACGAACGCUGGCGGCGUGUCUAAUACAUGCAAGUAGAACGCAGUUGCGAACAGGUGAGUAACGCGUAGGUAACUGCCCCAUAGCGGGGGAUAACCAUUGGAAACGAUAGCUAAUACCGCAUAUUGUGAGAUGGACCUGCGUUGUAUUAGGUAGUUGGUGAGGUAAAGGCUCACCAAGGUGACGAUACAUAGCCGGCCUGGGAGGGGGAUCCGGCACCCUGGGACAUGGUCACGGGCCAGGCUCCUACGGGGAGGAGCAAGAGGGAAGUUUCGGCCAUUGACGGAAAGCCGGCCGAGCAACGCCGCAUGAGUGAAGAAGGUUUUCGGAUCGUAAAGGUCUGUUGUGAGAGAAGCGGUAACUAACCAAAAAGGGACGGCUAACUACGUGCCAGCAGCCGCGGUAAUAC